CUAUGGUGGUGUCGGAUGGUACUGUGGAGGAGCAGGGUCGUACUGGGUUGACUCAGGAUCCUCCCGCUGCAGGGGUGGCUCAAACUGUGACAGCGGGAGGGUCAGGUAGCUCCCUCAUUUCCUUCCGAGCCUGUUGGGUAGUGAUAAGUCUCUCUAGUAUUUCAAAUAGUCGGUCAACAUCCUCUCGAAGUGAACCCUUCUAGGCUUGGUUUAAUGGGGGUCUACCUCUCUUCGUCUAUCUGUACUUAUAUUUUACAAGGAAUGGUUGAGUGAUAAUUUAUUAUUUUUGGUAUUUCAUAAGAUUUUUGUGUAAGGAAUGGUUCAGAGGAAUGCAGC
rnacentral:lncRNA from 1 species